rnacentral:misc_RNA from 1 species
GGUUCGAUGGCCGGCGGUUCAGAUACGGCUGAAACUGUUACCUUAACUUGUGCCCGAUGCGGCAAACCUUCCCAUCUUCAGUGUCCAAAGUGUAUGGAUUUAAAGCUUCCUCGUGAGGGUGCCGCCUUCUGUUCUCAGGAUUGUUUCAAGGCAUCUUGGAGCACUCACAAAUCAGUACAUUUAAAAGCAAAAGUGUCCUUGAUAGGGACUGGUAAUUCUGGGGAACAGAAUUCAGAUCUUGCAAACGAAGG